rnacentral:rRNA from 1 species
UACCAGCACCCCGAGUGGUCGGGACGAUUAUUGGGCCUAAAGCAUCCGUAGCCGGUUCUGCAAGUCUCCCGUUAAAUCCAACUGCUCAACAGGUGGGCUGCGGAGGAUACUACAGAGCUAGGAGGCAGGAGAGGCAAGCGGUACUCAGUGGGUAGGGGUAAAAUCCGUUGAUCCAUUGAAGACCACCAGUGGCGAAGGCGGCUUGCCAGAAUGCGCUCGACGGUGAGGGAUGAAAGCUGGGGGAGCAACCGG